GAACGAACGCUGGCGGCAGGCCUAACACAUGCAAGUCGAACGCCCCGCAAGGGGAGUGGCAGACGGGUGAGUAACACGUGGGAACAUGCCCUUUGGUUUGGGAUAACUCAGGGAAACUUGAGCUAAUACCGGAUAAGCCCGAGAGGGGAAAGAUUUAUCGCCUUUAGAUGGGCCCGCGUUGGAUUAGCUAGUUGGUGGGGUAAAGGCCUACCAAGGCGACGAUCCAUAGCUGGUCUGAGAGGAUGAUCAGCCACACUGGGACUGAGACACGGCCCAGACUCCUACGGGAGGCAGCAGUGGGGAAUAUUGGACAAUGGGCGAAAGCCUGAUCCAGCAAUGCCGCGUGAGUGAUGAAGGCCUUAGGGUUGUAAACUGCUUUUGUACGGAACGAAAAGGUCUGGGUUAAUACCCUGGGCUCAUGACGGUACCGUAAGAAUAAGCACCGGCUAACUACGUG
rnacentral:rRNA from 1 species